rnacentral:rRNA from 1 species
CGCCUGUUUAUUAAAAACAUUGUUUUAAAUUUUAUAUUUAAAAUAAAAUCUGCCCAUUGAUAUAAAUUAUUAAAAGGCCGCAGUAUUUUGACUGUGCUAAGGUAGCAUAAUCAUUAGGUUUUUAAUUGAAAUCUUGUUUGAACGGUUAAAUGAAAUAAAUUCUUUUUUAUUUUAAAUAUUGAAUUUUAUUUUUUAGUAAAAAAGCUAAAAUUUUUUAAAGGGACGAGAAGACCCUAUAGAAUUUUAUAUUAUUUAUUUUAAAUAUUUUAAUUAAUUAAUAGUUAAUAGUUGAAUAAUUAAUAUUUUAUUGGGGCGAUAAUUAAAUUUUUAUAACUUUAAAAUUUUAUUUCACCUAUAAAUGUAUUUUUGAUCCAUUUUUAGUGAUUAAAAGAUUAAAUUACCUUAGGGAUAACAGCAUAAUAUUAUUAAAAAGUUCUUAUUUUUAAUAUUGUUUAUGACCUCGAUGUUGGAUU